GGACUACCCGGGUUUCUAAUCCCGUUCACUCCCCUAGCUUUCGUGCCUCAGCGUCAGAAAAGGUCCAGUGUGCCGCUUUCGCUGCUGGCGUUCCUUCCGAUAUCUACACAUUUCACCGCUCCACCGGAAGUUCCACACACCCCUACCUCACUCCAGUCACCCAGUUUCAAGCGCAGUUUCCCGGUUGAGCCGAGAGAUUUCACACCUGACUUAGGUAACCGCCUACGCACCCUUUAAGCCCAGUGAUUCCGAAUAACGUUCGCACAGUUCGUAUUACCGCGGCUGCUGGCAC
rnacentral:rRNA from 1 species